UUCUUCGGACUCAUUACAAGGUGCUGCAUGGUUGUCGUCAGCUCGUGCCGUGAGGUGUCAGGUUAAGUCCUAUAACGAGCGCAACCCCUGUCGUUAGUUGCCAGCAUGUAAAGAUGGGAACUCUAGCGAGACUGCCGGUGCAAACCGCGAGGAAGGUGGGGAUGACGUCAAAUCAUCACGGCCCUUACGUCCUGGGCUACACACGUGCUACAAUGGCCGGUACAGAGGGCAGCCACACCGCAAGGUGGAGCGAAUCCUUAAAACCGGUCUCAGUUCGGAUCGGGGUCUGCAACUCGACCCCGUGAAGCUGGAAUCGCUAGUAAUCGGAUAUCAGCCAUGAUCCGGUGAAUACGUUCCCGGGCCUUGUACACACCGCCCGUCAAGCCAUGGAAGCUGGGGGUACCUGAAGUCGGUGACCGCAAGGAGCUGCCUAGGGUAAAACCGGUAACUGGGGCUAAGUCGUAACAAGGUAGCCGUACCGGAAGGUGCGGCUGGAACACCUCCUU
rnacentral:rRNA from 14 species